rnacentral:tRNA from 1 species
GCGGAAGUAGCUCAGUUGGUUAUCUCAAUUCCGCAGGAAUUGAGUACAAUUAGCCUUCCAAGCUGAGGGUCGCGGGUUUGAGCCCCGUCUUCCGCUCCA